CCUAUGGGAGGCAGCAGUGGGGAAUAUUGCACAAUGGGGGAAACCCUGAUGCAGCGACGCCGCGUGAGCGAUGAAGUAUUUCGGUAUUUAAAGCUCUAUCAGCAGGGAAGAAGAUGACGGUACCUGACUCAGAAGCCCCGGCUAACUACGUGCCAGCAGCCGCGGUAAUCCGGAGGGGGCCAGCGUUAUCCGGAUUUACUGGGUGUAAAGGGAGCGUAGACGGCGAUGCAAGCCAGAUGUGAAAGCCCGGGGCUCAACCCCGGGACUGCAUUUGGAACUGUGUGGCUGGAGUGUCGGAGAGGCAGGCGGAAUUCCUAGUGUAGCGGUGAAAUGCGUAGAUAUUAGGAGGAACACCAGUGGCGAAGGCGGCCUGCUGGACGAUGACUGACGUUGAGGCUCGAAAGUGUGGGGAGCAAACAGGAUUAGAUACCCUUGUAGUC
rnacentral:rRNA from 1 species